UGAGUACGAGAUGCUACGGCAUUGAAGCAGUCUAUGUCAUACUUCCAAGAAAAGCUUGCACUGUCAUAAACAAAGAAUGCCUGUACCAUAACCGACACAGGUGGGUAGGUAGAGUAUACUAAGGGGCGCGAGAUAACUCUCUCUAAGGAACUCGGCAAAAUGACUCCGUAACUUCGGGAGAAGGAGUGCCUUAUUUUUAAGGUUGCAAUAACAAGAUCCAAGCAACUGUUUAUCAAAAACACAGGUCUCCGCUAAGUCGUAAGACGAUGUAUGGGGGCUGACGCCUGCCCAGUGCCAGAAGGUUAAAGAAGUUGGUUAGCAUUCGCGAAGCUGAUAACUGAAGCCCUGGUGAACGGCGGCCGUAACAAUAACGGUCCUAAGGUAGCGAAAUUCCUUGUCGGGUAAGUUCCGACCCGCACGAAAGGCGUAAUGAUUUGGAUACUGUCUCGGAGAGGGACUCGGUGAAAUAGACUUGUCUGUGAAGAUGCGGACUACCUGCACCUGGACAGAAAGACCCUAUGAAGCUUUACUGUAACUUGAAAUUGAAAUUGGACUUUAGUUGCGCAGGAUAGGUGGGAGGCGUUGAGAAUAUUCUUGCGGGAGUAUUGGAGCCAUCAGUGAGAUACCACUCUUCUAAUGUUAGAUUUCUAACUUUGUAUCAUUAUCUGGUCAAAGAACAGUUUCAGGCGGGCAGUUUGACUGGGGCGGUCGCCUCCUAAAGGGUAACGGAGGCGCACAAAGGUUUCCUCUGAACGAGUAGAAAUCGUAUCUAGAGUGUAAAGGCAUAAGGAAGCUUGACUGUGAGACCUACAAGUCGAGCAGGGACGAAAGUCGGUCUUAGUGAUCUGACGGUGCUGAUUGGAAAGGCCGUCACUCAACGGAUAAAAGUUACUCUAAGGAUAACAGGCUGAUCUCCCCCAAGAGUUCACAUCGACGGGGAGGUUUGGCACCUCGAUGUCGGCUCAUCGCAUCCUGGGGCGGUAGUACGUCCCAAGGGUUGGGCUGUUCGCCCAUGAAAGCGGUACGCGAGCUGGGUUCAGAACGUCGUGAGACAGUUCGGUCCAUAUCCGGUGUAGGCGUUAGAAUAUUGAGAGGAGCCUUCUCUAGUACGAGAGGACCGAGAAGGACAUACCUCUAGUGUACCAGUUAUCGUGCCAACGGUAAACGCUGGGUAGCUAUGUAUGGAGUGGAUAACCGCUGAAAGCAUCUAAGUGGGAAGCCCACCUCAAGAUAAGUAUUCUC
rnacentral:rRNA from 1 species